rnacentral:tRNA from 2 species
GUGCCCAUAGCUCAGUUGGAUAGAGCAUCUGCCUUCUAAGCAGACGGUCGUAGGUUCGAGUCCUACUGGGCACGCCA